GGAGCGUACAUUGAGGCACAAGAAGAACGGGAAACCUGAUCCGUAUAACAUGAAGUGGACCAAUUUCGGUGGUAAUUGAUCGGAUUAUUCUACUUUAAGAAAAGGAAACACCACACUACGGCAUAAUUUCAUUUUUUUUCCCCGCAAAGAGGAGGAUGGUAGCCGGGUAGUCACAACUUCGGACACGCUGCUGUUCCUUGGCACGCGCACUGAUCCAGUUGGUGAGGCAGCAGUAGCAGGGUUCUGAUCCUGGGGAGAUGACGGAGGUGGUAGAGCCCAAGCUGGACUUUGCAUCCUCGGGUCGCUCGGGGAGAAGGAAUGCCCUACCUGACAUCCUGGGUUCACCGGUUGGGGUCAACCCCACUGACCUGCAACUCAAAUUGUCCGAGCUCCACCUCACAGAUGGUCUGGGAGAAGCCCAGUCUCCCACGGCAGAGGAGGCCCCACUCCCUACAGAGAGCUCUGAGAGGAAUGAGGGAUCAUAAGUCUGUCUGGGGGGAGGCCCCUAACUAGCCCCGAUGUUUACCUCCAGUGAAGCCGAUGAUAACUGGAGAAGAGGGAUGGAUGGGUAGAACGAUACAGAAGGACCGAUGAAGGAGAAUGAUGGGCCUGUUUUGAACAGCAGCUGAGCUGCAGAGAGAAGGAUGAUGAUAGGAUGGACAGGGAAUGGUCUCUAUCACCCAAUCUGAAAAGACUCUUAAGACAAGCAUUGGUGUGUGUGGGUGGAAAGAUCACCUUUACUCCAACACACUGCCAUGAGAAACAAUGGAUGUAUGCUGAUUAUAUACUGUUGUACACUACACAUUUUUAUGAUUCAAUCAAGACUCAAAACAUUCAGCAACGGAGAAGUCACAAGUGAAAAAAUAAAAAAUGUACAAUAUCCUACUGGUGUCUAUUAAUUGGCCACUGAUUCAACACAGCCAAUCAUGUGGGACGAUGGGCGGAUCCUAGUGGCCAAUAGUGGUUCAGAGCUUUCUAAUUGGUCUGGAAGAGAAAGUAAAGAUGUAUUAUAAUGUACUGGAUGUGUAUGAAGAAUGAGGUGAGAGUGAGUUAACUGUAUAACAAGAGGCAGCUGGCUUCCUCUUUCAGGGUGUCACAGACAUUGAUGUAAUCAUGAAUUCACAUCUGAGACUUUAAUACAGAGGGCAGUGUGGUAUGUAGUGCAUGUAUGGGUUUUUAAACGUUGUUCAAAUGGUUUUAAUGACAACCAAUGGGGCUAAAGCUAAUGGAUCGAGAUGAUUGCUGUGAUUGUGACCAGAAGUGUUGAUGUGUUUAUUUGCAAAGGUUAGCUAGUUGCUAAAGCUAACAUUAUGAGUAGCCUGACAAUCCAAUCCCUGUCUUUUAAAACAUUCCUGAAAUGGUUUCUCACUGCCAACCAUGUGCUGUUGAAGCAGUCUGACGCUGUUGGCGCAUUUCCAUACAGGAUUUACCUCAAUGUAGGCUCAGACUUUUCUGUUUCCACCUACGCGGGCACCCGUGUCUCACUGGGCCCUGGGUCCGGCGGACCAGGUCUCACUUGUGGCCAACCCAGACCGCUGGUACUUUUCAGCUGGCAAUUACAUAACAAACUGAACUUUUAACACCUCACAAAGCAACUGUUUUGAUUAUGCAGAGGCUGUUGAUUCUGCUCGUCAAUGUCAGCCCUCGCUAUGGAAACCAUUUCCCCUACUAUAACAUAAGGGUGUGUACACUAGUGUAAAGCUGGUGUAACAGUUUCACAACGGCAUGUGAAAACUGCUGUUGUGUUCCUCUCAGCUCAAGGCUGUCUUUCAUUAAAAUUAUUUAUAUUUUUCCAGACUUCUCAGAAAAUGUGCCUGGUAGCAGUUUACACAAGAAACCUGCUUUGUUGUGUUCUAUGGGUGCGUUCGUAAAUUCACUCUGGUUAUCUACUCCGAUUUCAGAGCACUUUCAUCUGAGGGUGCCAGAGCACAGAAUAACUCAUUUAUGAACGCUCAACACCCGUUGAAUAUGGCCGGUGUCAGUAAACGUUGGCAAAAAAAGCGUUGCCAGCAGCACAGUUAUAGUCACCAACACUCUGGAUGACAUGAAAACAGCCUAACCAGCUCUGACUCUUUUACACACCCAAGCAGAGUGAGGUGUUCUCUCAUUUUAGUAUGGAAGUAGCUAGUCAACGUUGGCCAGUUAGGUUGGGUGCUUGACUGCCAUUGUAAGGUCAGAAUGCUUUCAUCAACCCUACUCCUUUGAAUUUAGGAACGGACAAUCUGACAACAUUGAAUUUAGGAACACCCAGAGCACACUCUAGAUUGAAUUUACCAACACCCCCUAUAUCGCUGAAGUACUUUUAAACAGUAUUUGGGCUAUUGACCCGUAGAAGACAUGUCUACCAGGUCUUUGAUGAUAAACUAUAGAAAAAUGUCACUUAUCACAACAGUACAUAUGUUAAUGAUGUACUGGCUCAGAGGAAUACCACCCACACUUACAGCAAGGCCUUGGAGAUGGAAGGCUUGUGCACUUGCAGUGUGGUCAGCAUAUGCCUGUUGUCUGGGCAUGGGAGCAAGCACCAAGCAACACCACCACCAAAGUGUUGCAUCAUGUAUGGAGUUGCAGCAUGCCUUCUGCCUCCUGCUGCUCCACUCAGCCACAGACGGACAGCCCGGGAAUUCACACAG